rnacentral:rRNA from 1 species
UACAGAGGUCUCAAGCGUUGUUCGGAUUCAUUGGGCGUAAAGGGCGCGUAGGCGGCGGGGUCAGUCGGGUGUGAAAUCUUGGGGCUUAACCCCGAAACGGCACUCGAAACUGCCCGGCUGGAGGGCCGGAGAGGAGAUCGGAAUUCACGGUGUAGCAGUGAAAUGCGUAGAGAUCGUGAGGAAGACCUGUGGCGAAGGCGGAUCUCUGGACGGCUAACUGACGCUGAGGCGCGAAGGCCAGGGGAGCAAACGGG